GCAGGCAGAAAGGAAAAGGCGAAGGUCGCGGAGCCGGCCACGAUUGGUCGCGCUCCAGUGACAUCCAGUGGCGGAGGCCAAAGGGAGCCCAGGGGCAGCCUCGCGGGCAAGAGGCGGGGAAGGCUAGACAUUACCCUACGUAUGGCCCUUGUCAUAUCUCAAAUUAUCUUGGUUUUCUAAAUGUAAGCUGUGUAUUGUUUGUUUCCUAAUUCUCCUUCAAUAUGAUGUAAGGCCAGGGACUUUAUUCCCUGUGACCCCAGCGCCUCGCACGUAGUAGGCACUCAAGUGUAUGUUCCCUGAAAUAAUACUCAGAAUUAACUGCUCACAUAUGAAAAUAAUAACAGAAAAAAAUAAUAAUAGGCAGAAACGCUGGUGACAACAGCCAGGUGUUUGCUAGACACUUGUUGUGUGCCAGGUACUGCGUUUUAUAUGGAUUAUCUCAUUCCUCAGAACAGCCCUAUGAGGUAUGUAUUAAUUACUAGGACGCUUAUUUUUCAGGUGAGGAAACUGAGGCAGAGAGAGGGUGAUUUACUCAAGAUCGGAGAAUGAGGAAGUAGUGAUACUGACAUUCAAGUACUUUUUCUCUGCACUGACAAAUAAAAAUGAAGGCACAUGGUUUUAGUGGCAAAAGCAGCUCCCUUAGAAGGACCCUGGACUGGAAACAGACGUCAGUUGAAAUUUUGUUCUGCUGCACUGAGACCUUGGGGAAGUUACUCAAGUCUCUCAGCUUCAGUCUUCUCAUAAGAAAAAUGCUGUGCUACUCCCCUCCGUGAAGAUUGUCCAAGCAGUAGAGAUUACAGAAGACAUUGAGCACAGAGUCCUUGCUGUGCUCUCGUUCCCUGUGGUUUUUCAGGCCUGUCACCUAACCUGAAGCUUCAUUAGCAAAAAUGCUUUGCGUCAGGUGACCUUGAAGCAAAAAUCAUGAUAAAAGGAGUGUCCCCUGAGGCAGAAAAACAAUCAAGAUUCAGAGAGGAGGAAGUAGAAUGAGAUUCUAACACCCCUCCCCUCUCCAAGGGAAAGACAGACUAUUUGGUCAUUUGGCCCGCGCCAUCCUGGGCAGAGCCUCGGAGAGAGGAACCUCAGAGAAUUUGCCCUCUGCUGACUGUGUUUUAAUCAGAGUUUCUGAUGAAGGAAGGGGGAGAAAUUGCAUUUCUAAUAAGUUUUGAGAUGACUUUUCAGAUAUGUCUAGGCAGAAGGGCAGCCUCACAGAGAAUUCUGCCACAUCACAGGGCGAGGAAGCCACAGACAUCCCGACCCUCAAUCCAGGCAGUUGCCAUGAUUGGAGGGGACAGGCCUGUCAGCGUCGAAACCAAAAGAUUGAAAACCUGACACCUGAAUGGAGGACAAAAAACAUCUUGGAAUCCUUGUGGGGACCAGUGACUCAAGGACCUGAUUUUUCCAGCUUCUCCUGUAUCUUCGCACUUCAGAAAUUCCCUACCCAAGACACAGCCCCGAGGAAGGGGGAGGGCCUCCGCUGAUAAGAUUAUUGUCACUGCAGCUGAGUGGGGGCUUACACAGAAAUAAAUCUCAGUUACAGAAAAAAAAUUCCAUUUGUUACACAUUUGAGUAUAAACUCAAAUAGACUGAAGUUUAUUCCUGCUACUUUAUUAUCUGUAUUAUAUAGUAACCACACAUUUUUAAGUUCAGUAUUAUGAGAAUUUUCCCUUCACUCAAAGAUCAUGAGGUUUUAUUCACAUUUUUGUUUGGGGCCUAUAAUUUACAAGAACAAACCUGAGGGAAACCAACAAACACUGCCUUCUCUGACAUCAUCACUUCACCGGGUUAUGAGUUCCUCUGGGACAGGGUCUGUACAUUUCCUUUGAAUCUCCUACCUGGUCACUAGCAGGCACAGUGCUUCCACUCGGUAGGUACUCAAUAAAUG
rnacentral:lncRNA from 1 species